rnacentral:rRNA from 1 species
GACGAACGUUGGCGGCGUGCUUAAUACAUGCAAGUCAACUGAAGCAGAGGUAGUAAUAUCUCUGUGGAGGUGGCGCACGGGUGAGUAACACGUAGGUAAUCUGCCUUCAGGUCUGACAUAACCCCGAGAAAUCGGGGCGUAAUAGCAGAUGAUGCAGCGGCUUGACAUCAAGACAGUUGUUAAAGCUUCGGCGCCUGAAGAUGAGCCUGCGCAGAUUAGCUAGUUGGCGGAGUAACAGCCCACCAAGGCUACGAUCAGUAGCUGGUCUGAGAGGAUGAUCAGCCACACUGGAACUGAGACACGGUCCAGACUCCUACGGGAGGCAGCAGUAAGGAAUAUUG